AUGAUACAGUUUGCCUUCCAGUUACUCUCUGAUAAACCCGACAGUCACCCUACAAAUUUCAACCAGCAUUUAGUCAGCAUGAAUACUCCUUGUCUCCAAACCUCCUCCUCCUCCAAGGAAAGUGGGCAAUCCCCUAGGAAGACGGGCAGUGUCCUUCGUGGAACAGAACACACUCAGCAACAGAACAUGGAGCUACAAUCUGAGACCGCAAACAAAAUGACCGGUUGAGAAAAAGGAGUCCUCAGCUGACGAAGGACUAAAGUUGCCACCAAAUCGAAAUGAAAGGAGUAGGUUAGGAGACGAGCUACAGACUGCUUCAAACCUGCACGAGAAAGAGGGAGACAGAAUGAGUGUUGCUGUCACCUUUCCGGAGAGAGGGUGUUCCGGGUGUUUGAGAAGAGCUUCCUGGCAUACUUGGCAAGCAGGUUCUGCCUCAGUGGCACCUAAUAAGAGGUGGAUCUUAGCAUGGCCAUGGUAUUAAAACUGUGAUUCUUGUGCUUUCCAUGUUUAUAAGAUCCAAAAGUAUCUCUGUGUGGUGGUGGUGGUGGGGGUUAUGGGAUCCCAUUGCACAUCGUGGCUGGACCCUGUAAAGACGCUGAGAACUUCCAUCCAGCUGUGAUGAUGUGAUGAUCUCUAGAUAACAGCCUAGAACCCCCACCUACAUACUACACUUUACUGAGUGCAUUGCUAUCUAUUUUUCCCACACUUCACCCCUACACUUCCCCAAGUACAGCAUCCCGAAGCUUCUAAGUACAGGAUGUUUCCCAGGGUCUUUGAGAUCCAAAUCAUGUAUGAGGCACUGCUCUGAUCACCUUUAAGUCAGUCUCAGCCUCCCUCCCACCCUCCCUUUUUCCCUCCCUCCCUCCCUCCUAGUUCUCCGGUCUUACUGACUUUCCAGUAUCUACUUCCAAAGGACGAUAUUUGAAACCAACACUACUCACUCUCCUACUUUUUAUUCAGGGUCUAUGUUUCCCUGUCAAGUCUCCUUGCGUGUCCAACCCAGGAUGUAACUGGCUUUGGGUUGUUUUAGUCCCUGCUCUGGACUCCAUCUGCCCUGGCACAGAAGGUUGAGCCUGCUUCUCAUUGUAACAAGGUUGCACUAAUUAGCUGCAUUUGAUUUUGCAUAGGGGAAAAAUGCAAAUGAAUGCAAAGCAGUAUGCAAAUGUGCAGUAUCUUGGCUCUCUCAGAGACUGAGCCUGCAAUGCUGAUGCCAAUGACAAUGUAUAUUAAUAGCCACCUACGCCAAGCGUGCUCUGUUUUCAGAUGGGGUGAGCAUCAGGGGGAUUCUUUUUUCCUGCUAAUAAUUGUGACUUUAUACAAAAUUCCAAGUCUAUGAUCCUGGACAAGAAGCCCACAGAUCACAAAGCUGUCCUUUCUGGAAAGAAUUCUUGGUGCAGCUGGGUUUACUGGAACAUCAAGCAGACUUGGAAACUGAGUCACAUAAACUGUAGUUAAAGUCUCACUUUCAGCCUGGCACAGUGGCAUAGCCCCAUAAUUCCAACACUUAAGAGGUUCAGCCAGGGUGAAAUCUCAAGCUUGAAGCCAGCCUGGCCUACAUAGUGAGAUGUUAUCUAAAAAAAACAGAACCAAACAGAAGGUAGUCUUUGCUUGGAUGAGUGGUUUAACCCAAAAGUCUGCUUGUUUCUAAGCAUUGCACUUUAGAGCAGGAGAGCAGCAGAUGGGGGCUGAGGGAAAGGAUGCUUCCCUUCCCUGAGAUUCAGAAGACACCAGUCACGUCCAUCUCUUCUCAUAGGCCUUUCCCGUACGCAGGGACUGAACUAGAAAGUAACGAAGAGUGGGCAGAGCCCAUCCCUGACCUCAGCUCCUGUAUCACUUGCCGUUUCAUCAACUGAAUCUUUCUAGAAGAAAACAGUGAAAAUAAAACACAGCCCCGUCAUUUUAUACA
rnacentral:lncRNA from 1 species